rnacentral:rRNA from 1 species
GUAGCCAAGCCCGGAAGGGAUAAACGCUGAAGGCAUCUAAGCGUGAAGCCCCCCUCAAGAUGAGAUAUCCCAUCCGAAAGGAGUAAACCCCCUUGAAGACGACGAGGUUGAUAGGGCAGGGGUGGAAGUGUGGUAACACAUGGAGCUGACUGCUACUAAUAGGGUGAGGGCUUGACCAAGAA